AUCUUAAGAUAUCACCAAAAACCUAAAAGUAGCUUCAAAUCCUAAUUUUAAUACACCUACAUGCAAUUUUCUUUAUAUCUCACAAACUAAGCACUCAAAUACCACAAAAUUUGUAUAUAUAGCUCUUCAACACAAUAGUCUACCUUUUCUAAAAGGUUUGAGCCAAAAAUUCGUCCAAAUACUUAAAAUAUGGCUCCAAUCAUUACUAUGAAUAAAAUCACUUACUUACUACUUUUGAUUUGAAUGCACUGACUUCAACUCUCUAUAAUUUCUUCAUCCAAAUUCCAAAUUCAUCAAAUAGUACAUGAAAAGUGUAGUCAAGAAAGUGCUCUCUCCAAUCCCAA
rnacentral:lncRNA from 1 species